rnacentral:rRNA from 1 species
UGGGGAAUAUUGCGCAAUGGGGGAAACCCUGACGCAGCCAUGCCGCGUGAGUGAAGAAGGUCUUCGGAUCGUAAAGCUCUUUCAACGGUGAAGAUGAUGACGGUAGCCGUAGAAGAAGCCCCGGCUAACUUCGUGCCAGCAGCCGCGGUAAUACGAAGGGGGCAAGCGUUGUUCGGAAUUACUGGGCGUAAAGGGCGUGUAGGCGGUCUAAUCAGUCAGUGGUGAAAGCCCUGGGCUCAACCCAGGAAUUGCCUUUGAUACUGUUAGACUAGAGUUCGGGAGAGGAUAGUGGAAUUCCCAGUGUAGAGGUGAAAUUCGUAGAUAUUUGGAGGAACACCAGUGGCGAAGGCGGCUCACUGGCUCGAUACUGACGCUGAGGUGCGAAAGUGUGGGGAGCAAACAGGAUUAGAUACCCUGGUAGUCCACGCCGUAAACGAUGUCUGCUAGUCGUUGGGGGGCGUAGCCCUUCAGUGGACGCCGCUAACGCAUUAAGCAGACCGCCUGGGAGUACGGCCGCAAGGUU